AAAGUGAUAGUGAUUUACAGGAAAAAGUAAUUUACUUUCCACUCCGACAUGUCUAUCUUGUGUUUUAUAAUUAUAUGAAUAUAUAGCAACUGAUUUAUUUACUUUACAGUUAAUACACAUUCAACUGUUUCCUUUUGGCUUCAAAUUAAAUUUCUACCCAAUGAUCUUAUUACGAUUUUAGCUAAUAUAUCUAACAUGUGAAUAUCACAUUUCGUGAUAUAAGGUGCCUGUCGAAAGUCUGCGAUCCCAUGGAACUAAUAGCGCGUGCAGUCAACAACAUUUUGAGGGAAAUUACAGCAGGUCCACACGAAGGGGGAACAUUUUUCGGCUACCACAGAUUAUAGCUACAUUUUCCGAGCCCCAUAGAGCACGAUACUAAUCUGCCAUGGCAACGGACCAUUGAAGCACAACGGAUUGUACGGAUUGGCAUAUCGGUUGGAAUACAUAUUUCGCGGACUCACCUUGCCCACCUGCUGCAGAGUCUCGAGCAUUAGCUCCUUCUCCAGCACCGAGUCGAGGGCCUGGACCUGAUCGCAGGAGGCCUUGGCCUGCAGAUAGGAGGAGGCCAGGAUGAAGGAUCCCAGGAUGAAGGCUGACACGAUGAUGGUGAAGGCGGUGAUCUUGGCAAUCUUCACCGAAUUCGCCUGGCGCUUGUAGGCCUAGAAAAGUACAGAAAAUAACAUUAGCUUUGCGGUUUUGUCAAUGAACAUAAGUAUUUAGUUUUUAUUUGUGUUUGCAAUUCAAUAUUUCUACGUGCUCAUUUGCCUAUGA